UACGAAGGUGGCAAGCGUUGUUCGGAUUCACUGGGCGUACAGGGUGUGUAGGCGGUUUGGUAAGCCUUCUGUUAAAGCUUCGGGCCCAACCCGGAAAGCGCAGAGGGUACUGCCAGGCUAGAGGACGGGAGAGGAGCGCGGAAUUCCCGGUGUAGCGGUGAAAUGCGUAGAUAUCAGGAGGAACACCGGUGGUGUAGACGGCUCACUGGACCGUAACUGACGCUGAGACACGAAAGCGUGGGUAGCAAACAGG
rnacentral:rRNA from 1 species